rnacentral:rRNA from 1 species
CCUACGGGAGGCAGCAGUGGGGAAUAUUGCACAAUGGGGGAAACCCUGAUGCAGCGACGCCGCGUGCGUGAUGACGUAUUUCGGUAUGUAAAGCUCUAUUAGCAGGGAAGAAACUGACGGUACCUGAUUAAGAAGCCCCGGCUAAUUCCGUGCAAGCAGCCGCGGUAAUACGGAGGGGGCAAGCGUUAUCCGGAUUUACUGGGUGUAAAGGGAGCGUAGACGGCAGCACAAGCCUGGAGUGAAAUGCCGGGGCUUAACCCCGGAACUGCUGUGGAAACCGUGCAGCUAGAGUGCAGGAGAGGUAAGUGGAAUUCCUAGUGUAGCGGUGAAAUGCGUAGAUAUUACGAGGAACACCAGUGGCGAAGGCGGCUUACUGGACUGUAACUGACGUUGAGGCUCGAAAGCGCGGGUAUCGAACAGGAUUAGAUACCCGUGUAGUC